GUUGCUUAGGUCUGUGGUUGAAAAUCCAAGCCAGGUACGGGCAAAAGGAUCCACGUAAGCCGCCAAUGUAAAGAUGCAGGCGGUGAUCAUGGCGUACCUUAGAAGUAAGUCCUCCGCAAAGCGGGUAAAGGCGAGUGUGGGGUCAAAGACCAGGUCAGCUAAGCAAC
rfam:Firmicutes bacterium CAG:145 genomic scaffold, scf136